rnacentral:lncRNA from 1 species
CAUGAUGCACUGAAUGUGGAAAUAUAAUUUCCCAUGGAAAAGAUCCCUCAGCUUUUCCCAUGAAGCUGGCAGCUGAGUACGUGACAAAAUUUCGGCGCUAGACCCGACUGUCAUGGGCUCUUCCAGCAGCAUAGUUAGUGGAUCCGAUCCUGAUCGUCCAAUUAAUGCCCAUCGGGAUCAGUCUCGCCGAAAUAGUGUCCCUACGCUGCGUGCACCCUUGGCCAUGCACUCAAAUAAUCACAAUCGUUUAUUUUUAUAAUGAUGCAUCCAGAUGAAUAUGAUUCAUAAAAAUAAGUGAUUAUCAUAGGCAGUGUAAGAUAUAGUUUUUUUGAUAAAAAAAAUCCGUAAUGAAAAAUUUUAUCCACUAUAUAUAAUGUGUAACAUGUGUCUGCGUGCGCGCUACAAUUAUAAUUAUUUAUUGUUUUCGAUGCCAUGGC